AUGCUGUGCGGUUUUCUCGCUCUCUCUCCUCUGCGCGGCUCCUAUCGUUUGGUCUCAUUACAGGAAAUCGCUGAGGAAAACGCAAAACCAGACGAAAACGCAGAAGAGAUAUUGGAUGCAACUUUCUAUAUGCAGCAUGGUGACAGUAUCUUUGAAGUUGGGUCUUGCUUCAAGCCUGUUCUAUUAGAGUUUUAUUUUAGCAUCUCUCGAGUAUUUUACUACACACACUGA
rnacentral:lncRNA from 1 species